rnacentral:rRNA from 1 species
GAUGAACGCUGGCGGCGUGCCUAAUACAUGCAAGUCGAGCGAACAGACGAGGAGCUUGCUCCUCUGACGUUAGCGGCGGACGGGUGAGUAACACGUGGAUAACCUACCUAUAAGACUGGGAUAACUUCGGGAAACCGGAGCUAAUACCGGAUAAUAUAUUGAACCGCAUGGUUCAAUAGUGAAAGACGGUUUUGCUGUCACUUAUAGAUGGAUCCGCGCCGCAUUAGCUAGUUGGUAAGGUAACGGCUUACCAAGGCAACGAUGCGUAGCCGACCUGAGAGGGUGAUCGGCCAAACUGGAACUGAGAAACGGUCCAGACUCCUACGGGAGGCAGCAGUAGGGAAUCUUCCGCAAUGGGCGAAAGCCUGACGGAGCAACGCCGCGUGAGUGAUGAAGGUCUUCGGAUCGUAAAACUCUGUUAUUAGGGAAGAACAAAUGUGUAAGUAACUAUGCACGUCUUGACGGUACCUAAUCAGAAAGCCACGGCUAACUACGUG